UUUUUGCAGUGGCUAUAAGUACAUGCCUUAUCAACUUUUGGCUUGCCACGUCACGAUGGAGAUAAAAGAGAAAGAUGGCGAUGAUGUUAAGAUGCAAGGACAAGGAAACAAGUAUGCAUGGCUAUGGAACUUGACUAGAAAGUAGGUGGUAAGGAAGUUGUCGAAAUAGGAAGAAGACGAUGAUUUUUUGUAUAUUUGUUUAUUAUGUUAAACUUAUAUGUAUUUAUGCGUGAAUAAGUGUGAUGCGGAUAA